rnacentral:rRNA from 1 species
GAUGAACGCUGGCGGCGUACCUAAUACAUGCAAGUCGAGCGAACAGACGAGGAGCUUGCUCCUCUGACGUUAGCGGCGGACGGGUGAGUAACACGUGGAUAACCUACCUAUAAGACUGGGAUAACUUCGGGAAACCGGAGCUAAUACCGGAUAAUAUAUUGAACCGCAUGGUUCAAUAGUGAAAGACGGUUUUGCUGUCACUUAUAGAUGGAUCCGCGCCGCAUUAGCUAGUUGGUAAGGUAACGGCUUACCAAGGCGACGAUGCGUAGCCGACCUGAGGGGGGUGUCCGCCACCCCUGAACUUGAACCCCGGCCCGGCCCCCUACGGAGGCCACAAGUGGGAAUUCUUCGGAAAUGGGCGAAGCCCUACCGAAGAAACGCGGCGGGGGUGAUGAGGUUCUUUGGUUCGUAAAACCUUUUUAUUGGGGAAGACCAAAUGUGUAAGUACCUAUGACGUUUUGACGGGACCCUAACAAAAAAGCCCGGGCUACCUCCGU